rnacentral:misc_RNA from 1 species
CUUUGCAUCUUUCCCUCACGUAUAUGUGAGUUCAAAAUCUUGAUGGGCGUUCAAAGUCUUUGCAUCUUUCCCUCACGUGUGCGUUCAAAAUCUUGAUGAGCGUUCAAAAUCUUUGCAUCUUUCCCUCACGUAUGUGCGUUCAAAAUCUUGAUGAGCGUUCAAAAUCUUUGCAUCUUUCCCUCACGUGUGCGUUCAAAAUCUUGAUGGGCGUUCAAAACUUUUGCAUCUUUCCCUCACGUAUAUGUGCGU